CAGCGCGGUGUUGCCGGUUGCAGGGCGGUCGCCGUCGUGCUCUGGGUGAGCACCUCAGUCCCCUCACGGCCUUCAAGCGUUAAGCUGUCCGUGUGAUGAGGAGCAGCGCCGUGUUGGAGCUGCGCAUUCAUUUUCAAACUUGUGGUUUCCAAAUGGCAGCAACCAUCGUUUCUCUCAGGCUUAACUCAAUUAAGGCAUGUGCUGCAGUUGCCAGCGGAGUGGUGGGGGCUCUCAAGGGUGUGCGAUGCGGGUGCCACCACAGCCAUGCAGCACUGCCAGAGGGCAGUGGAAAUGUGGAGGAGGAAAAUUAAGCUGUGAACUGGAAUUCCAUCAGGCUGUCUGCUGUGAAGCCCUGUGGCUUUAGCAAACAGGCAGCAGUGGUCAGAAAUGACACUCAAAAGAAAGUUACAAGUAAUUUGUAGAGGACUUCCAGCUCCUGUGAAAGAAGAUGCUUUUGUUCUGCGAGAAUCUUCACAUCUAACGAGGCACAUCCACGCAGCACUGUUUAUGCAGAAAAAGAAGAAAGAAAAAAAAGUAACUUUUCUCUGAUUCCUUGAGCACAGAGUGGGACAAAGACUGGAGGGAAGAGUGCGAAAAGUUGGAAACAGGGACUCUGCUUCUUCAACAGAAGUGGUGAUUCUGGUCAGUCGUGCCUCCUGCUUUUGUGUUUGUGCUUUAUUUACUCUCAAAAUAAAAGCACGUUGAUGCUGAAGAAGGAAAUCACCAGUGCCCCAAAAGAGAAAGAUUCUGUUGAAAUGUGUACUGAAGGACUGUCAACCUUUUUCUAAUAAGUGCCUGACUUGUUUAUAGAUGAGAUCCUUGUAGUAGCUGCGUAAUUUAAAGCACAGGCUUGGGUCCUUUGCGGACCGGGCAGCUGGAUAUGUGGAGGAUCCAGUGUUUGUGUGAUUGAGUAGGAGACAUCUGGUUAAAGGAAUGAAAUAUUUAUUGAUAAUAUACAUUGUCUUUUUUGCCUGAUGUUACUUUCACAUUAAAGACAGCAUGGCAAUUUGUAGAAGAAGCAGAAGGAUGUUUUUGCUUUGUUCCAGCUCUUGAUUAAGUGUAUCACACCAUUUCUGGUGGCUUUAUAAACUAAGUGCAGCUUGAGAGAGUGAAGGACGAGUCAACCCAAAAGAAAACAAAUAAUUAAUAUUGUGCUGUAAAUGGUCUGGGAGGAAGAUUAUCCAUGAAAAUUGGAACUAUGAGCUGGUUGUGUGUAAUGAAUGGUGGUUGGGGUGGGUAAAUGGAGAGAUGAGAAAGGAAAAAACUGUGGUUAAGAUGAAAGCUGCUUUCAAUGAAGACAGGAUCAUAGCAAAAAUGUAACAAGAGAAGUGAAAUAUAAUUAGGAACGUGACAUUAAUACGGGAUUUGCAGAAUGUUGCCUAACAGGUGGGUGGGGUUUAUUUGACUUUGUUUCAGCUGGGUAUUGAAUCACACUGAUGCAGUCUACAAUUAUGUUAGACUGUGAGAAAAAAGGUAGUAGGAAUGUUCAAAUACAUGAGCUCCCACCAUCAGCAUGUGUCCUCACUCCCUCUCUUAUAGCUGUAAUAAUCACCUCCCAGUUAAGAUGGUUCUUGCUCUUCCUCUGUCAUUCCUUGUUUCUGCAGCUCUGCGCUGGAAAGCAGAGGGGAUAUUGGGUUUCCUUUCAUCGCAAUGGCAAGUCGAGGAAACAUCUGGUUUAAACAAAAUGUGCUAAAGGUUUGAAAGAAGA